CGCUCCCGCCCGCCGCCGCCUCCGCGGAGCCCCCGUGAGGCACGGCCGCCUACAGGAACCAGCAGAAACUGAGCCCACUACCCACAGUGUAUAAAUCUGCCUGGGCAACCCCCACUGAAGUAUGCCUAAGCUACGGCUGUGAAUGCUGUUCCUGGACCUACCCACCUGCAAGUCCAAACCCAGUCAGUGGGUCUGCUUGCCUGCACUUCCUUGGGAAGAAAGAACAAUCCAGCAAAAGAUAAUUGUUAUGCAGAACUCAAAGUGAAAUACUAUUUGUAACAACAACUGUAGUCACAAAUUAAAUGCAGGUACUGGACAAGAUUCACAUAUAUCAGGAAAAACGAUGAUCAGAUAUUUAUUUUCAGACAACAAAUAAAACCACUGGGAAACACUGAAAUGCUCAAA